UUGUCGAAGAAAGAGAAGGCACAAUCAGUCUUCCACCUGCUCCAUCCGGAAGGACUCAAUAUUUAGCCAUUCUCGGGUUACCCUUACAGAUUGGUUAACAUUCAUUUAUCGAUUUGCACAGGGCCUACAACUGAGGCAAGUUGACAUGAUGGAGGAUGGUAUCGCCAAGAGCUCAAGGACGCUAACCAGAAUGACAAAAAUCCUGAGGAAGGUUUGCAACAAAGCCUUGAGGAGAUUCAAAAGGAGAAAGGGUUUUAAAGUUGGAUCCAGAUCUCUUUGGAGAUUUGUUGUGAU